GAGUUUGAUCCUGGCUCAGGAUGAACGCUAGCGGCAGGCCUAACACAUGCAAGUCGAGGGGUAACAGGAAAGCUUGCUUUCGCUGACGACCGGCGCACGGGUGCGUAACGCGUAUGCAACCUACCUCAUACUGGAGAAUAGCCCCUGGAAACGGGGAUUAAUACUCCAUAGUAUCGUUCUUUCGCAUGUUUGAAUGAUUAAAGAAUUUCGGUAUGAGAUGGGCAUGCGUCCCAUUAGCUAGUUGGUGAGGUAACGGCUCACCAAGGCUACGAUGGGUAGGGGGCCUGAGAGGGUGGUCCCCCACACUGGUACUGAGACACGGACCAGACUCCUACGGGAGGCAGCAGUGAGGAAUAUUGGUCAAUAGAGGCAACUCUGAACCAGCCAUGCCGCGUGAAGGAUGACGGCCCUAUGGGUUGUAAACUUCUUUUGAAUAGGAAGAAACUUAUCUACGUGUAGAUAACUGACGGUACUAUUAGAAUAAGGAUCGGCUAACUCCGUGCCAGCAGCCGCGGUAAUACGGAGGAUCCAAGCGUUAUCCGGAUUCA
rnacentral:rRNA from 1 species